AGAGCAUAUAUUAAAGUUGUUGCAGUUAAAAAGCUCGUAGUUGGACUUCUGGUUUAAUGCACCUGGCCCGCAGCCAACAGGUUUGUGAGUGCCGGCGCGCGUUUACCAUCCUUCCAGGAAACGAGUCUUCCCUUAACUGGGCCGGACUCGGGAUCUGGAUCAUUUACUUUGAAAAAAUUAGAGUGUUUAAAGCAGGCUUUUGCUAUGAAUACAUUAGCAUGGAAUAAUAAUCUAGGACUUCGGUUCUAUUUUGUUGGUUUCUAUAACUGAAGUAAUGAUUGAUAGGGAUAGUUGGGGGUGCUAGUAUUGGCCGGUCAGAGGUGAAAUUCUUGGAUUGCAGCAAGACGAACAACUG
rnacentral:rRNA from 1 species